rnacentral:rRNA from 1 species
AUUGAACGCUGGCGGCAUGCUUUACACAUGCAAGUCGAGCGGCAGCGCGGGGGCAACCCUGGCGGCGAGCGGCGAACGGGUGAGGAAUACAUCGGAACGUGCCUGAGAGUGGGGGAUAACGCCGCGAAAGCGGCGCUAAUACCGCAUAUUCUCUGAGGAGGAAAGUGGGGGACCGCAAGGCCUCACGCUCACGGAGCGGCCGAUGUCGGAUUAGCUAGUUGGUGGGGUAAAGGCUUACCAAGGCGACGAUCCGUAGCUGGUCUGAGAGGAUGAUCCGCCACACUGGAACUGAGACACGGUCCAGACUCCUACGGGAGGCAGCAGUGGGAAUUUUGGACAAUGGGCGCAAGCCUGAUCCAGCCAUGCCGCGUGAGUGAAGAAGGCCUCGGUUGUAAGAC